rnacentral:rRNA from 1 species
AAUGGCCUAACGGCUGAACCAGCAAUUAGGAAGAAUGUAUAGUGUAUACUAGUUGUUAUUUAAUUUAUUAAAAACAAUAUCGACUACGUCGAAUAAAGUUCUGGGUAGGAAAAUGAUAAUGACAAUUUACUAUUCAUAUGUCUUGACCAAUUCACGUGCCAGCAGUCGCGGUAAUACGUGGAAGACUAGUGUUAUUCAUCUUUAUUGGGUUUAAAGGGUACCUAGACGGUAUGUUUAGCCCUAAUAGGGUACUAAUAUACUAGAGUUUUAUGUGAGUAGGGGAGAACUCUUGAAGUAGAGAUGAAAUUCAGUGAUAACAAGAGGACUGAUGUAGGCGAAGGCAACCUUCUAUGUAAAAACUGACGUUGAGGGACGAAGGCUUGGGUAGCGAUUAGGAUUAGAUACCCUAGUAGUCCUGGCAGAAAAUUAUGAAUGUCAUAGGCUAGAUUUGAUCUAUUCUAUAAAUGAAAGUGUAAGCAUUCCACCUCAAGAGUAAUGUGGCAACACAGAAACUGAAAUCAUUAGACCGUUUCUGAAACCAGUAGUGAAGUAUGUUGUUUAAUUCGAUAAUCCGCGAAAAACCUUACCACAAUUUGAAUAAAAAAUACAAGCGCUGCACGGCUGUCUUCAGUUAAUGUCGUGAGAUUUUGGUUAGUUCCAUUAAUUAACGUAAACCCUUACUUUAUUUAUCUUAAGAUUUAUUUCAAUAAAGUAGUUCGCCCACUAUACCGGGUAAGAUAAGAGGGACUAAGACAAGUCAUCAUGGCCUUAAUAUUGUGGGCUAUAGACGUGCCACAUAAACCUUCACAAAGGGAUGCUAUAUUGCGAAAUGGAGCUAAUCCCCAAAAAAGGAUAUAAAAU